GUAGUUAGCCGGGGCUUCCUCCUUGGCUACCGUCACUUUCUUCGUCACCAAGGACAGAGGUUUACAACCCGAAAGCCUUCAAUCCCUCACGCGGCGUUGCUGGGUCAGGCUUGCGCCCAUUGCCCAAUAUUCCCCACUGCUGCCUCCCGUAGGAGUCUGGACCGUUUCUCAGUUCCAGUGUGGCCGAUCAGCCUCUCAGCUCGGCUACCCAUCGUAGACUUGGUGGGCCGUUGCCCCGCCAACUAUCUAAUGGGACGCGAGCCCCUCUCCCUGCGGAUUUCUCCUUUGACCCCUCUGCCAUGCGACAGUGUGGUCUUAUGCGGUAUUAGCACCAGUUUCCCGGUGUUAUCCCCCUCAGAAAGUCAGGUUGCUCACGCGUUACUCACCCGUCCGCCACUCAGUCACCUUAGAGAGCAAGCUCUCCAAGGUGCUUCGUUCGACUUGCAUGUGUUAAGCACGCCGCCAGCGUUCAUCCUGAGCAGANACAACUACUGA
rnacentral:rRNA from 1 species